rnacentral:rRNA from 1 species
CACCGCGGUUAUACGAGAGGCCCAAGUUGUUAGCCCCCGGCAUAAAGAGUGGUUAAAACAUCAAACACAAAACUGAGGUCGAACAUCCUCAAGGCUGUUGUACGCUCCCGAGGAUAGGAAGAACAACAACGAAAGUGGCCUCACCAAAUUUGAACCCACGAAAGCCAGGGCA